rnacentral:rRNA from 1 species
CCUACGGGCGGCUGCAGUGGGGAAUAUUGGACAAUGGGGGGAACCCUGAUCCAGCCAUGCCGCGUGUGUGAAGAAGGCCCUCGGGUUGUAAAGCACUUUCAGUGAGGAAGAACGCCUGGUGGUUAAUACCCAUCAGGAAAGACAUCACUCACAGAAGAAGCACCGGCUAACUCCGUGCCAGCAGCCGCGGUAAUACGGAGGGUGCGAGCGUUAAUCGGAAUUACUGGGCGUAAAGCGCGUGUAGGUGGCUUGAUAAGCCGGUUGUGAAAGCCCCGGGCUCAACCUGGGAACGGCAUCCGGAACUGUCAAGCUAGAGUGCAGGAGAGGAAGGUAGAAUUCCCGGUGUAGCGGUGAAAUGCGUAGAGAUCGGGAGGAAUACCAGUGGCGAAGGCGGCCUUCUGGACUGACACUGACACUGAGGUGCGAAAGCGUGGGUAGCAAACAGGAUUAGAUACCCGUGUAGUC